rnacentral:lncRNA from 1 species
GUUUGCUGUGCCUCAGACUCUUGACUUCUCAUCUCAGUUCCCCUGCCAGAUCCCUAUCCAACUAAACCGCAGCUCAGAUGCCCCGCAUCUACAAAAUGCCCUCACUCCCCGCCCCAACAUCUGAGUGAGGGAAGAGCAUCCUCAGGGAGCCAGGAUCCCACAGGACGUCAGCCCACCGCUGAGUCUUCCUCAGGACUCAGCAUCUCCACUAGCUGUCUGAGUUCCCAAACCAGGACAGGGCUCUGUUUCCCAGGGCUGACCACGAUGUUAGCUGCGGAUCAGAGGAUCGAGAACUAGAGAAGAAAGAACCAUCUAGAAGGACGGCAGAAUCACAGGAGAGAUCGAGCAUGGGGCCACAGAGAAAGCCUUGGGGAUACUACCGACCACAGAGAAACCAGUGAUGUACAAAGAUCUCACCGGAAACACCGGAAACGUCCUUCUGGAUUACAGAGUCUCAAGUACUAAAGUACUAAAGAGGAUUAACUCCGAUAACACCACUUUCAGGAAGUUUGACAACGGAGGUCAGAGCAUACACACAUCACUGACAAAAAACGGAUUACAGUAGGGUGAGCACUCAACGCGAAUCGGCGAUGGACUGGAGGUCAGAUGGGCAUCCAAGUGCGUCAGGCUUAGAGAGCAGACAAAAGCUUCUGGUCUCUGCUUAGGUGGCACCGGGAACAGGAGACCUUCUUGGCCUCGGGCCCUGCAGACAGUCUUGCCUGCUGCUUCUGUCCCAACAGGCUACUAAAGCCAGGUUCUCAGACGAUCCCGCUACCAGCUGCCAGUACUCGGCUGUCCUCGGCUAUCUUCGGCUUUCCUCAGUCGAAAGACCCCUGAGCAGGAACAUGCUCAUCUGUGUGAUGGACCGGAAGGCAGGUUCACCAGGGUUCUCCAGGGUUGGAUGAAACUAAUCUUGCUUCUGCAUGAAUGUGCACACACAAACACACACACCUCUACACACACAUACACCUACACACAAGAGGCAUUCCAAUCCAUGUUCUUAUGAAGUAUAAGAAGUAAUAAUAAUUUCCCAGAAAUGCAAGAUGAGAAAAUUACUGAAUUUGGACUUCACACUGACCACAUCUGGAGGCGGCAUACUCUGAAAUCAUAUUUGAUAUCAGCCCUACCUACAAGCCACUGCGACCUGCAAGAAACUGACUGGGUUACUACAAGACAGGCUGUGUACACAAUGUGGAUGUGGACACAGUGUGAGCUGGAGGGAGCUGGAGGGCCUGAGAUUUUUAUCACUGAACUCAAAAUGACAAGCGAAUUAAACGUGCAAGCUAAUUUCUAGAAUGUCCCCUUUGAUGGUUUUGAAUUGUGGCUGACUGAAAUACCCAUCAUUAAAAUUGCAGAUAAGAAGACUGCUGUAUUUCUAGCAAAUUUUGAGGCACUCUUGCUUUAGGGAGCUGGUCUAGUGAGCUGGCUUGUUGCUGUAAGAAGCUGGGCAGAUAAACUCCGCUGUCUCUGCUGCCCACAAGCAGACCUCAGCAUCCUUCUAGAAUCAUCUAGCACUAUUUCCUCCAUCAUAUGAAGACUCUUUCUUUACCUUUCAGGACAGCACAUGAUGGUUUACUCCUGGAUUAGCCAGCUGCUCUUUACAGCCUGUUUCACUGGGUUCCUUCUUGGUCUUAAGCCCAGGAUUUUGGCAUAUAUGUAUGAAUAAGGGAAUUUAUAUAUGAUUUGUAAGUCAAAAUGGCAAGCGUGAAACCC